rnacentral:rRNA from 1 species
AGUUUGAUCCUGGCUCAGAUUGAACGCUGGCGGCAGGCCUAACACGUGCAAGUCGAACGGUAACAUGAACUAGCUUGCUAGUUUGAUGACGAGUGGCGGACGGGUGAGUAAUGCUUGGGAAUUUGCCUUUAGGUGGGGGACAACAGUUGGAAACGACUGCUAAUACCGCAUAAUAGCUACGGCUUAAAGAGGGCUUCGGCUCUCGCCUUUAGAGAAGCCCAAGUGGGAUUAGGUAGUUGGUGAGGUAAAGGCUCACCAAGCCCACGAUCCCUAGCUGGUCUGAGAGGAUGAUCAGCCACACUGGAACUGAGACACGGUCCAGACUCCUACGGGAGGCAGCAGUGGGGAAUAUUGCACAAUGGGGGAAACCCUGAUGCAGCCAUGCCGCGUGUGUGAAGAAGGCCUUCGGGUUGUAAAGCACUUUCAGUUGUGAGGAAAGGUUGAUGGUUAAUACCCAUUAGCUGUGACGUUAGCAACAGAAGAAGGACCGGCUAACUCCGUGCCAGCAGCCGCGGUAAUACGGAGGGUCCGAGCGUUAAUCGGAAUUACUGGGCGUAAAGCGCACGCAGGCGGUUUGUUAAGCUAGAUGUGAAAGCCCCGGGCUCAACCUGGGAAUAGCAUUUAGAACUGGCAGACUAGAGUCUUGGAGAGGGGAGUGGAAUUUCUGGUGUAGCGGUGAAAUGCGUAGAUAUCAGAAGGAACAUCAGUGGCGAAGGCGACUCCCUGGCCAAAGACUGACGCUCAUGUGCGAAAGUGUGGGUAGCGAACAGGAUUAGAUACCCUGGUAGUCCACACCGUAAACGCUGUCUACUAGCUGUUUGUGGAUUUAAUCCGUGAGUAGCGAAGCUAACGCGAUAAGUAGACCGCCUGGGGAGUACGGCCGCAAGGUUAAAACUCAAAUGAAUUGACGGGGGCCCGCACAAGCGGUGGAGCAUGUGGUUUAAUUCGAUGCAACGCGAAGAACCUUACCUACUCUUGACAUACUAGAAACUUUUCAGAGAUGAAUUGGUACCUUCGGGGAUCUAGAUACAGGUGCUGCAUGGCUGUCGUCAGCUCGUG